rnacentral:rRNA from 1 species
GAUGAACGCUAGCUACAGGCUUAACACAUGCAAGUCGAGGGGAAACGAUGAGAGAGCUUGCUCUCUUAGGCGUCGACCGGCGCACGGGUGAGUAACGCGUAUCCAACCUACCCAUUACAGGGGGAUAACCUUGCGAAAGUAAGACUAAUACCCCAUGGCAUUUUAUGGUGGCAUCAUUAUAGGAUUAAAGAUUUAUUGGUAAUGGAUGGGGAUGCGUCUGAUUAGCUUGUUGGCGUGGUGACGGCCCACCAAGGCAACGAUCAGUAGGGGUUCUGAGAGGAAGGUCCCCCACAUUGGAACUGAGACACGGUCCAAAAUGCUACGCGACGCAGCAGUGAGGAAUACUGGGCAAUGGGCGAGAGCUUGAACCAGCCAAGUAGCGUGCAGGAUGACGGCCCUAUGGGUUGUAAACUGCUUUUAUAGGGGAAUAAAGUGAGCUACGUGUAGUUUAUUGCAUGUACCCUAUGAAUAAGGACCGGCUAAUUCCGUG